ACUCCUACGGGAGGCAGCAGUGGGGGAUAUUGCGCAAUGGGCGAAAGCCUGACGCAGCGACGCCGCGUGGGUGAUGAAGGCCUUCGGGUCGUAAAGCCCUGUCGAGGGGGACGAAACGGUUUCGACCCAACACGUCGGGAUCCUGACGGUACCCCUAAAGGAAGCACCGGCUAACUCCGUGCCAGCAGCCGCGGUAAUACGGAGGGUGCAAGCGUUGUUCGGAAUCACUGGGCGUAAAGGGCGUGUAGGCGGUCCGCUAAGUCUGAUGUGAAAGCCCGGGGCUCA
rnacentral:rRNA from 1 species